ensembl:antisense
AGAGCUUCUCAACCAUGUUUGGGAUGGUCUAGGGAUGAAACUGCUGGACAGCUGAGCCAUGGAGACUGGGGAGAGAUCUGCCUGGCUGAGACCAAGCCCUGCUGUACCAUCUGCAUUUUACAGUGAGGAUGCCCAUUGACAGGAAGCAAAGAGCAGUGAGUGGUGCAGACGCAGAGAAAAGGAAAAUCAGAAUGAUCGACAGGCUUCAAAUCCUACCUCUAACACUUAACUACGUACCUCACAUUUGGUCUUGGGCAGGCCAGUUAACUCAUCAAGACCCCAUUUUCACCCCCUGAAAAGUGGCAUAGUAACUCAGUUCUAUUGAGUUACUGAGGACUGGCCCCACAAAGAGACAAGCAAUACCAGGAUAAGCCCCCAACAAAGUGGGUUACAGAAGAUGACCUUGAACUCCUGACAUCCCAAUUUCUACCUCCCGAGCACUGGGAAUGUAGGUGGCCUAGUUGUUUUUAAAGCUGAAUGGAUCUGAAGUUCCUGAACUUGUGUGCAAGCGUUUGACGGAGGCUGAUGAGAGAUUCCUGUCACCGCGUGUGUGCUGAAGUUCUCUGGAACUGGGACCGGUGAUAUUGAUCUGACCCUCUGCAGUGUUCCGAGGGCUUGCUUACCCACUCCAAGUCUGUGAGUCCUAAUGAAGCAGGGCUAAGUCCGCUGAAGACCACCUUUGGGAGAUCCUGGAGUGACUGCUCCCUGAAGAGAGUCCUGGUCCUAGGAAUCUGGGAUUCUACCUGAAGUCCCAAAGAUGAACAAAUGGUAGAGAGAGGCACCUGAGUGAGCCUGCUUCCUAAACGACUUCUCAGAACUGCCUGCAGCUGGGCUGCCUAACAGAAGCUCAAGUUCUGGGAUUCCACUCUUGAAGAAAAAUGAAUCUGCCCUUAACUUAGUGAGCCCUCAGCCUGUAGGUCAGGACAUGUAGUUCUUGCUACCCUGAAACUCACUAUGUACGACAGACUGGCCCCAACACACUGAGAUCUGCCUGGUUCUGUCUCCCUGGUGCUGAGAUCAAAUGCACGCGUAUACUUAGGGUACAGGACUUUUAUUUAUAUGUUAUGGCUCUGGGUUUGUUUUCAUGGGAUUCCUGAUUGUGCCAGCAAUUGGGUCUCUGUGUCUACAUCUGUUUCUUUUGCCUUUUCUUUGACUCCCUUUCUUUUGUUUGUUUCUUUUGCCCUAUUCUGAUGUGUUAGUUUUUGUUUUAUCUUAUUAUAUUUUAUUAUUAUUCAUCAAGUGCCCUUCUGUUUUCUAAAGAGAAACAGAAAGGUGGUGAAUUUGCAUGGGGUGGGAGGCAUAGAAGAACUGGGAGGAGUAAAGGGAGAAGAGAUCAUAAUCAGGAUAUAUUGUAUGAAAAAAACCAGACUAUUUUCAAUAAAACUACAACAAAAAAUGAAGAACGAAAAUAACCAGUCUAUCUUAUCUUCCCAACAUUUGUUUACUUGCUUAGAGGAAGACUAAUCUUGAACUUAUGGCUCUCUCUGCCUAAGCGUCAUGAGUGUGAGUAGCGUGGAAUUGCACCAUGAGGAAGAUACUGUGGUGGGAUAGAACAGAUUGUGACAGAAAACUAAAAAUUCUCAACCAGAAGAAUUAGAAAGUAAGCAAGCAAGGAGGG